UACGUAGGGUGCAAGCGUUGUCCGGAAUUAUUGGGCGUAAAGAGCUCGUAGGCGGUCUGUCGCGUCUGCUGUGAAAACUCGGGGCUUAACCCCGGGCCUGCAGUGGGUACGGGCAGACUAGAGUGCGGUAGGGGAGACUGGAAUUCCUGGUGUAGCGGUGAAAUGCGCAGAUAUCAGGAGGAACACCGGUGGCGAAGGCGGGUCUCUGGGCCGUAACUGACGCUGAGACGCGAAAGCGUGGGGAGCGAACAGG
rnacentral:rRNA from 1 species